CUCUAAGUAAAUGAAAUCACCCAAAUUAACCACAGCCACAAACAGCCACAGAUAGAAUCAGGACAAGCAAGUCUGUCAGUACAAGUUGUAACUAUUCUAACCCACUUCAUAGAGUGCUUCAAAAUGCAGGAAAUGACAUAAUAUCUCCAAACAGACACUCAUUUGAGAAUUCACUUUAAAUUAUAGUAGGUGACAGCAUGAAGUGAGGUUUGUGCCAAAACAUGUGCUGGGUCUGGAAAGCAGCCUGAACAUUGUGAAUGAUCAGCUUUCAGAGAGAUGAUAGAAACCCAAGACAUUUUGGCAGCAUCUAACAGGAAAACAUCUCUCAAGAACACAAGUUUACCUUUGAUUAAACAUGGCUUGGAAAGGUGUGACUUUCCCAAAUGCCACUCUGUAAGCUAUCAAAUGAUUUUUUAAUUUUAAAAAUUAAGGGAAAGGUUGUAAUAGAAAAAUCUAACAUGUUAUUUGUCAUUAUACCCUGCAAAUCCCCACUCACUGCUGCAAAUCUACUAACAAAAUAUUCAUUAUUCACUCUACUCAGCACAUUCUGAAAAACACACUUAUACCUUCACUCAAUUAAAUGAUGUGAUUCCUAGGAGAACAGUGUGCAAAUAUUCUUGUUCAUCAAACCUUCCCUCACUAAAACAACUCAAAACUCAGAGGCUCAAACAGUCAAAGCUGAUAAUUCUUGUGGGGCCAGAGUAAUUUUUAUCUCUGAAAUGAACUGUACUACUUAACAUCUCACUUUACCUUCUAACAGGAAGGGCUAACAGGAAUGGGAAGGGAGUGGAGGGCAGAGGAGGGGAGGAAAGAAGGGGUGAAAAGGGGAG